ensembl:rRNA 5S_rRNA 5S ribosomal RNA
AUCUAUGGCCAUACCACCCUGAGGACGCCCGAUCUCGUCUGAUCUCAGAAGCUCAGCAGGAUCAGGCCUGGUUAGUACUUGGAUGGGAGACCACCUGCGAAUACUGGGUGCUGUAGGCU